AAGUGAAAUAUGCCUUCGGCAUGUGAAAUGUUUGCUUCGCAAACGUGAAAUGUGCCUUCGGCACGUGAAAUAUUGG
rnacentral:sRNA from 1 species